ACACGAUCCCUUCGCCUUUUUUCGAACUAGGCGCUGCUGGGCCAAGUCAGCGAGCUACGUCGGCGACGGCAGAACGCAGAUGCAUUCCUGCGGCGGCAGCUGCAACCAGCGACAGCUCACUCGCAGGAGGCCUGGCUGCAGCCCAUGAGCGGCUCACUGUUCUUCGCGAGGGCGAAGGGAGGCGAGAAAGAAAGCAAAAAGCACGAGCGGGGCAAACCGGCCGGAUCGGCGGUGGGUCCCUUCUCGCCGCCGCGCCGAUGUAUUGGGCCGGGCCCUGGGACACCCCCCGCCACUAGUCGUCCCAUUCGCGGCACAUGCCCUCCCCACGCAAGCCACGCUACGACGGCGGUCCGCUCGCUCGGCAGCAACAGGUGAGAGGGAGCCGAAUAUCGUUACAAGCAAGUGCCACUUGGGAGGAACGACGACAAUCGAUUAGCCUUGGGCAGGUCUGGAUGAGUGGCAAUGUUGCUCGAUUGCCAGAAUAUUGCACUCGUCCCGGCCUUUCUCUGGCUUUACAAGCAGCGUUGGAUUAACGAUCGCUUCCUGCAGCGACAACAAUCUGCGCGUGCCUGCAACGCCCGUUCAGCUGUCCACAUUGUGACAUGCCUGAGCGGUUACGAGUUUUGUAUGAUUUAACCGCAGAAUUUCAUACUAAAAUUACUAGAGGAGAGAGAGAAUAAAGAUCUUCGUUUUCAGAAUGUA
rnacentral:lncRNA from 1 species